rnacentral:snoRNA from 1 species
AGACCAUGAUGUAGGCAUCUCCGAAGCAAAUCUUUAUCCCUCUCCCAUGAUUCAUAUAAAGACUCAAAAUCCAAUUGCAUGAAAGAAGUAAUAUCAUUCCUCAUCUU